CGACAGCGUCAUGCGACUGUCGUCAGCAGAAACUCAGCCUCAAUCAGCUCGGACCCUACUCUUUCCUUUCAGCUGAGGAGCGCUUGGUGUUCAGCAGCUCAGCUGUAGCCCGGACGUCAGCUGACAAUCCUGAAGGUGAUUGAGCCACAGAGGAGAACCCAGGAACCUCGAUCUGGAGCAGGAGCAUCCUGAUGGCUUACUCAAGGUUGGCAUUCUGGAACACGAAGUUGUGUGCCUUUGACCGAGUGAGCCGGCUGCGCCUCUCUGAGAUGAUCUGCCCCAUUUUGCUAAACACUCGUUCAGAUGGCACAGAGGUCGCGACAAGCCGUGGAGUCAGCCGUGGGAAUACCAGUGCCCUGUUCUUCCACCAGAUCAGGGGGUUGCAGGACCUAGGGAUCAGGGCCUCCUGGAGGAAGGACCGGAUCUCGAGGGUCGCUUCUGUGUGAGCACUGAUGUGACUCACAAGCCCCGACACCUGUUCAUCAAAGUCCCCCCAGACCUGGCUGGCCUCGAUUGGAGCUUCUUACUGUAGUUUAAAUUUCAAAAUAAAUCAUCCAUUUGGAUUGAU